CCACCCAUCUCAUGUUAACUAAAGCACAAGUCUGUAUGGUUUAGCCUUGUGUGCCGAAGGUUUGGAAGAUCAGACUCUGUCUCCAUCCAGUGGAGGUUUCAUGUAACUCUUAUGCAUGAAUAUUAGGAUGUCUUAGUACAUAGUCCGUCCCCAAUGACAGCAGCAUUAUUUGAGAAUGAUCCAAAGUUCAUAUUUUGCUUUAAAACAUCAGACUGUCUGCACAAAUGAGUUUUACAUAGUGCCAUGGAUUUGGAUUAGUGAACUAAUAAAAGUAUCAGAAACUGGGAAUUUACAAGAAUUACAAGUGUCUGAUCCAUUCAUCCGAUGUCGUUGAGAUCUGGAAAAGGCGGGUGAUCAUCCUAAACAGCAGCACCCCCAGCGACCAUGCCGUCGCCUGUUUCGCACAGUUCUCGCCCUUCUCAAAGUAUUCAGGGGGACAGUACCUUGCUGUCCCUGAAGGAAAGAGUUUGCCACAUGUCACAUGGAGGGACUACUUGUUUUUAGAUAACACAUUCUACUGUAAGUGAUGUUGGACGAGCUUCUCAAGAGGUCUCCACAGCCGAAAUCGAUCAAUUUGACCUCCGGGGUCUCCGUGCUGGAUGGGGCCUCAUCAUUGACCUGCUCCACCUGAGCCUUGGUGGACUCGGAGCGAGAGAAACAUGUGAAUAAAGAGGAAAACCACCUGCGAAACCUCCUCUUUUUCUGCCUCUUCUUCUGUUUUCUCUGCCCCUCUCUCUCCCUCACCCACAGGCGUCUCGUCAGGACCCCGUUCACACACUCACCUCCUCUCUCCGAAGUGCAUUUUGAUCAUCGGUUGUGAAUUAUUUGUCUAGUGUUUUGAAAAAUGUCAAGAAGGUUCUUAUAUCAAAGCAAAAAUGAUUGUAAAAGAAAUUGUAAAUCUUGGUUUGAUGAUCAUCUGUCUAAUGCAGUGACAUACAUUUUCAGAGAAGCUGAACGGUCCAUAUACUUUUUACAACACGUAAAAUACACAAAAGUUUCUUCUCGUCUGAAUGUCUUCCAGUAUGUACAGAAUUCACUGAAAUGCUAUUGCAAAACAUAAUAUUGUAGAAUUUUAGUUUGAAGGACAGAACUUAUAUAAAUCAUGUUCCAGUUUUUGAAACCAACAGAAAACAAUCAGAUUUAUUUAAUUAGUAAUUUAUUUUUUAUAUAUUUGUUUAUUUAUUUUUUGCUUAAAACUUUUCUCACGGUCUGUUAGAUGAUUCAUCUGAAGUGGCUGGUGGGAAGCCAGGUUUUUUUCUUUCUUUCUUUCUUUCUUUCUUUCUUUUUUUUUCUCUCACAGCCACAUGAUGGUGCAAGACAUUGCUAACAUUAUAAAAAUUAUGUGCAUCCUCCCACCAGGCUAAAUCUCAGAAA